rnacentral:rRNA from 1 species
UACGUAGGGUGCGAGCGUUGUCCGGAAUUACUGGGCGUAAAGAGCUCGUAGGUGGUUUGUCGCGUUGUUUCGUGAAAACUCACAGCUCAACUGUGGGCGUGCGGGCGAUACGGGGCAGACUGGGAGUACUGCAGGGGAGACUGGAAUUCCUGGUGUAGCGGUGGAAUGCGCAGAUAUCAGGAGGAACACCGGUGGCGAAGGCGGGUCUCUGGGCAGUAAACUGACGC